CUCUGCCCCGAAUACAUUAGCAUGGGAUAUGGAAUAGGCCCUGUCCUCUUUUGCGUGGGUUUUCGAGGACCGGGUAAUGAUUAAUAGGGAUAGUUGGGGAUUGAUAUUUAAUUGUCAGAGGUGAAAUUCUUGGAUUUAUGAAAGAUCGAUUUGCGAAAGCAUCUGCCAAGGAUGUUUUCAUUAAUCAAGACGAAAGUUAGGGGAUCGAAGACGAUCAGAUACCGUCGUAGUCUUAACCAUAAACGAUGCCGACCAGCGAUUAGGAGACGUUGAAUACAAAACACCACCGUCGGGCGGCCGUCCUUGGCUGCGUCGGGCGCGCGCGCGCGCGUGCGGGUGGCGACAUCCGUGCGCGUGCGUGCCGUCCGGCGUGGC
rnacentral:rRNA from 1 species